rnacentral:rRNA from 1 species
AACAAACGCUGGCGGCGUGUCUUAAGCAUGCAAGUUGAGCGGCAAGGAGGAGAGAUCCUCCCUAGAGCAGCGGACUGGUGAGUAACGCGUGGGUAAUCUAUCUUAGGCAUGGGGAUAGUCACUAGAAAUAGUGGGUAAUACCGAAUAAGUUCCAUAAGGGGAGGACUUAUGGAAGAAAGGUGCUACGGCACUGGCCUUAGGUGAGCUCGCAUCCCAUUAGCUAGUUGGUGAGGUAAAGGCCCACCAAGGCGAUGAUGGGUAGCCGGCCUGAGAGGGUGUACGGCCACACUGGGACUGAGAUACGGCCCAGACUCCUACGGGAGGCAGCAGCUAAGAAUAUUCCGCAAUGGACGGAAGUCUGACGGAGCGACGCCGCGUGGAUGAAGAAGGCCGAAAGGUUGUAAAGUUCUUUUGCUAGGGGAGAAUAAGUGUGGGAGGGAAUGCCUGCACGAUGACAAGGACUAGCGAAUAAGUCCCGGCCAACUACGUGCCAGCAGCC